rnacentral:rRNA from 1 species
GAUGAACGCUGGCGGCGUGCCUAAUACAUGCAAGUCGAGCGAACAGACGAGGAGCUUGCUCCUCUGACGUUAGCGGCGGACGGGUGAGUAACACGUGGAUAACCUACCUAUAAGACUGGGAUAACUUCGGGAAACCGGAGCUAAUACCGGAUAAUAUAUUGAACCGCAUGGUUCAAUAGUGAAAGACGGUUUUGCUGUCACUUAUAGAUGGAUCCGCGCCGCAUUAGCUAGUUGGUAAGGUAACGGCUUACCAAGGCAACGAUGCGUAGCCGACCUGAGAGGGGGAUCGGCCACACUGGAACUGAGACACGGUCCAGACUCCUACGGGAGGCAGCAGUAGGGAAUCUUCCGCAAUGGGCGGAAGCCUGACGGAGCAACGCCGCGUGAGUGAUGAAGGUCUUCGGAUCGUAAAACUCUGUUAAUAGGGAAGAACAAAUGUGUAAGUAACUAUGCACGUCUUGACGGUACCUAAUCAGAAAGCCACGGCUAACUACGUG